rnacentral:rRNA from 1 species
GACGAACGCUGGCGGCGUGCUUAACACAUGCAAGUCGAACGGAAAGGCCCUGCUUUUGUGGGGUGCUCGAGUGGCGAACGGGUGAGUAACACGUGAGUAACCUGCCCUUGACUUUGGGAUAACUUCAGGAAACUGGGGCUAAUACCGGAUAGGAGCUCCUGCUGCAUGGUGGUGGUUGGAAAGUUUCGGCGGUUGUGGAUGGACUCGCGGCUUAUCCGCUUGUUGGUGGGGUAGUGGCUUACCAAGGCUUUGACGGGUAGGCGGCCUGAGAGGGUGACCGGGCACAUGGGGACUGAGAUACGGCGCAGAAUGGUACGGGAGGCAGCAGGGGGGAAUAUUGCACAGUGGGCGGAAGCGUGAGGCAGCAACGCCGCGUGCGGGAUGACGGCCUUCGGGUUGUAAACCGAUGUCGACUGUGACGAAGAGUGAGUGACGGUAAUGGGUAAAGAAGCACCGGCUAACUACGUG